rnacentral:rRNA from 1 species
ACGGGGGGGGCAAGCGUUGUUCGGAAUUACUGGGCGUAAAGGGCGCGUAGGCGGCCUACUAAGUCGGACGUGAAAUCCCUCGGCUCAACCGAGGAACUGCGUCCGAUACUGGCAGGCUGGAAUCCGGGAGAGGGAUGUGGAAUUCCAGGUGUAGCGGUGAAAUGCGUAGAUAUCAGGAGGAACACCGGCGGUG